rnacentral:rRNA from 1 species
AAGUUGUUGCAGUUAAAAAGCUCGUAGUUGGAUUUCGGGAUGGGCCAGUCGGUCUGCCGUAAGGUAUGUUACUGGCUGGUCUGUCCUUCUUCGCAAAGACUGCGUGUGCCCUUGAUUGUGUGUGCGUAGGAUUGCGACGUUUACUUUGAAAAAAUUAGAGUGUUCAAAGCAGGCUGACCGCUUGAAUACAUGAGCAUGGAAUAAUGGAAUAGGACUUUGGUUCUAUUUUGUUGGUUUCUUGAACCGAAGUAAUGAUUAAGAGGGACAGUUGGGGGCAUUCGUAUUUCGUUGUCAGAGGUGAAAUUCUUGGAUUUACGAAAGACGAACAACUGCGAAAGCAUUUGCCAAGAAUGUUUUCAUUAAUCAAGAACGAAAGUUAGAGGCUCGAAGACGAUCAGAUACCGUCCUAGUUCUAACCAUAAACGAUGCCGACUAGGGAUCAGCGGGCGUUAUUUUAUGACCCCGUUGGCACCUUAUGGGAAACCAAAGUUUUUGGGUUCCGGGGGAAGUAUGGUUGCAAAGCUGAAACUUAAAGGAAUUGACGGA